GAACCGAACCGGACCGAAAAAACCGAACCGAAUUGAAGUGUGGAUAAUAUGGGUUGGUUUGGUUUAGAAUUUAUAGAUAUUUGGGUUUUCGGAUUUGGUUUGGUUUUUAGGUUCGGUCACCGAACCGAACCGAAAAAACCGAAUUAAUAAAGGGGUUGUUUUGGUCAUUUACCUUCAAAGCUAUAUAUAGGUUAGUUUCAUCUAGAAACCCUAAUUUUCCCUCUUUCUUUUUUCCUCACUCAGCCGCACUGCCUCACUCACACACAACCCCUUUCUUUCCCCUCUCAUUUUUCAUUUCUAAUCAUAAAAACCAUAAAACCCCUAAAUAUCUCUUAUCAAUUCUUAGUUAUUUGUUGUAUUAGAUGGAAUUUAUAGUGAUUUGCUGAAACGAAAUACAAAAUUUAUAAGGGAAGAAAACUCUUAUUAAUUUUAUCAUUAUUUUUUUAUGGAUCUAACUUUUUUUUUUCUUGUUCAUGGUUGAUCCGGAAUUUAUGAAAAUUUCGGAUGAAUUUCUUAUCUUAUGAAGGUCUACAAAUUCAGAUGGGGAAAUCAAGAUGAAUACCAAGCCAAAAAGAAAUUAGCUGUGUUCUUCGUUAAAAAUUUAUUCAUUUAAUGUAAAUUAAUUAAUGUAAUUUUAUGGUUAUUUAAAUGUUAAUAUAUCUGUUGGUUUA